rnacentral:rRNA from 1 species
AUAGGUGGCAAGCGUUGUCCGGAAUUAUUGGGCGUAAAGCGCGCGCAGGCGGUCCUUUAAGUCUGAUGUGAAAGCCCACGGCUCAACCGUGGAGGGUCAUUGGAAACUGGGGGACUUGAGUACAGAAGAGGAAAGCGGAAUUCCAAGUGUAGCGGUGAAAUGCGUAGAGAUUUGGAGGAACACCAGUGGCGAAGGCGGCUUUUCUGGUCUGUAACUGACGCUGAGGCGCGAAAGCGUGGGGAGCAAACAGGGAUUAGAUACCCUGGUAGUCCACGCCGUAAACGAUGAGUGCUAAGUGUUAGGGGGUUUCCGCCCCCUUAGUGCUGCAGCUAACGCAUUAAGCACUCCGCCUGGGGAGUACGGCCGCAAGGCUG